rnacentral:rRNA from 1 species
GAUGAACGCUGACAGAAUGCUUAACACAUGCAAGUCAACUUGAACUUCGGUUUGGGUGGCGGACGGGUGAGUAACGCGUAAAGAACUUGCCUCACAGAUAGGGACAACAUUUGGAAACGAAUGCUAAUACCUGAUAUUAUGAUUAUAUGGCAUCGUAUAAUUAUGAAAGCUAUAUGCGCUGUGAGAGAGCUUUGCGUCCCAUUAGCUAGUUGGAGAGGUAACGGCUCACCAAGGCGAUGAUGGGUAGCCGGCCUGAGAGGGUGAUCGGCCACAAGGGGACUGAGACACGGCCCUUACACCUACGGGAGGCAGCAGUGGGGAAUAUUGGACAAUGGACCAAGAGUCUGAUCCAGCAAUUCUGUGUGCACGAUGAAGUUUUUCGGAAUGUAAAGUGCUUUCAGUUGGGAAGAAAAAAAUGACGGUACCAACAGAAGAAGUGACGGCUAAAUACGUG